AUACUUACCUGGGCAGGGCCAAUGGCUGAUCAAGAAGGCUCAUGGCCUGGAUCGGAGGCUUACAUUGCACUUGGGAGUGCUCCAGCCUAAUAUCUCCACAGUGGGAGAGUGUACGUGGUAAUUUGUGGAAUUGGGGGCCUGCGUUCGCGCGGCCCCUGC